AACACUAAAUCACAUACGUGAAUUAAGCUGAUACCUUAAAAGAAAAGAAUGGAUUCUUUUAGUGUUA
rnacentral:tRNA from 1 species